rnacentral:piRNA from 1 species
GAAUGUACCGAUGGGCCGAUGGGUCAA